ACACCUCAACUCUCAUGGCUUGCCAUGAUGAGCUUGGACUCUGGAGGUCUUGCUGGCUCAUGGUCGGCUCCUCUCAAAUGGAUUAGCUUGCCAGUGUUUGGUGGCAUCACAGGUGUGAUAACUAUCUGCGCUUGUGGUUUCCCAUCAGAUAACCUUCAGUGAUGGAGGUUCGCUGGAGCUCAUAAACGUCUCUCCUAAGUGAAGACAACCCUUUGAAU
rnacentral:misc_RNA from 1 species